rnacentral:tRNA from 1 species
ACCUGGGUGGCUCAGUCGGUUGAGUGUCUGACUUCGGCUCAGAUCUUGUGGUUCGUGGGUUUGAGCCCCGCAUCGGGCU